AGGCUACUUUAUUAUUUGGCUCACAGAAAGGAGAAAGUACCGCAUGUCCUGUUUGUAUGAUAAAAAUAAAUCUCUCUAGGCCCACCAUGUGCUCCUUUCUCUGUUUUGGUCACUGCCCCAUGGUUAGAAUUGUUUACCCAUGUAAAAAAAGGACAUUGAAAGGACUGUGAGGUACAGACAUGGUAGAUCAUGCGAGACUCAAAAUGGUGCCAAGGGCCUUUACCUCCCCAGCCUUUGCUGGGAGGGUGUCCAAGAGGGCCCCCUAAGGAACGACCCCCAGUGGGCAGCAUGUAAGAUGUCCCCCCCCCCCCGCUUGUGUUUAUCUUCCUAUCUGCCCAACUCAAAAAUAAUGAUGAAAGUAAAUAUUUGGGACCAGGUUUAUUUUGGUCAGACAAAUUCCAGCCUGCUUUCUAAAAUUAGGAAGUCUGUGGGAUGCACGUGGCUUGGGGCAUCCUGCCGGAGAAGUUUGGCUUGGAGAUAUUUGGUUCUCUUCCUUACUGAGGCUAGCUUGGGAAAACGUGCAUCUGAAGAGACCCAGGGCUGGUGUUCAGGAGCCGAGAAAGUGCUGGCAGACAGUGGGAGGCAGGACUGGGGAUGCAGCCCUGUGAAGAGUGAAGCACUUCCCACAUACAACCCUAGCACUCGUGUAAAAGUGGGCCAUGGCAGCGCCUGCCUGUACCCCCAGUGUUCAAGUCAGGUGAGAAAAGUGGGUUCCCAAGACUUGCAGACUAGCUCAGUCAGUGAACUCUGUCUCUUUGUAGACACCACACACACACACACACACACACACACAAACACGCACGCACACGCACACGUGCACGUACAGUCAGAUAGACACUACAUACACACGGACACACAAUUGAGAGUAGAGGCAACACAGAAGGGAGCCUGUGUGGGUUGGGCACGGAGAGUGGGCAGCACCCUGGAAGGCGUAGGAAAGAAGGCCAGGGCUCUCUGAGGACGACAGUGGCCACAGCACUCCUCAGUGGUCCUGCGACCUGUGUUGAGGACUGUCUUACUGCAGCUCCGUAAUAGGCAGCCAUUUUACUUCCCAUGACACUUGAAGGAAAAGCCACUUCAGUUACCUACAGGACCUUGCUAACUUGUCCCUUC
rnacentral:lncRNA from 1 species